AUUAAAAUGGCAGAUAAUAUGCAUUAGAUUUAAAACCUAAAGAUGAGUGAUACUCUUUUAAUA
rnacentral:tRNA from 2 species